AAAACACAGGUUUUACCAUAACAAGAAAAAUUGCAUGUCCCUAGAAACUAUGUAAUUCUCGAUGGAUGAAAGCAACACCAACCAUGAUUAUAUUGAAGACGAGUAGCUACUGAAAAUGGAGAUCAGUACCCAGAUAAACAAUUUGUCAAAUAACAAUCUCACGAAAAUCCUCUGCCGAUUUUGAGGCUAAAUCUGUGUUUAAUGCAUGUCACUGAGUAAAUCCUGGCUUUCUCUCGUUGAUAAACCUAAUUAUGCUAGGAGCAGCUUUGAUAAAUCCUUGCUUGCCUCUGUUUUUUGACACAAUCAUGUACCUGGGGGAAAGCCAGGAUUUACUCAUUGACAUCCGAAGCUACUGAAAAUGGAGAUCAGUGCCCAGAUAAACUGUCACUUAUACCUUUCCAAAGCUUGGAAAUCUAAGCUAACUUCUAAAAUGGACAUCUAGUUAUAUCAUGCAAGGUAACAUAAUUAGGGAUUUUUUCCUCCCUUAGAUUUGAAUUCCAAUGCAAGUGAAUGUGUGGUUUGCUAGUAUAAUCUAAUUACUGGCGAAUAUUUUUUCUUGAUUUUGAAUACAAAGAAGACAUCGAGUCUAAUGAAUCUAAUGUCUUCAAUUGCUUUGGGUUAAGUCAUGUUAUACGAAGUCUGAUUAUCAACAUCAGCUAUAAGUAUAGGAAUCACCUCAUCAUAGAGUGCUGGUCUACAGUGAAAGUUAUGCAGUUGAACCCAACACCUAGAGGCAGAGAUGGAUGGAGGGGGACUGGGCUGGGUUGUAGUCCCCCCCAAAUGCCCAAAAAAAUUUUAAGGUAUUUUUUUUGUUUUUUAUUUGUAAAAACAAUUCUUUUGUGUAGUAAAAAAAAAAAAAAAAAAAAAAAUUCACGUUGUAGUCCGGCUUGAAAUUUUGUAGUCCAGUUUUAAAUCCAAUCCUGGAUCCGUCUCUACCUAGAGGGGAUGACUAGGUUUUUAUGUGGAAUUUAAACAAACUAAUUAAUAAUUGCGACAAGUCACAGUUAUUAAUUAGUCUAGACGAAUUCAAAUGUAACCUACCUUGUGUUGAAUUGUCGCAGCAUAAUAAAUUGUUGAAAAUUAAAUAACACAGGAUAUUUGAUUAUGAAGAGAACCCCUCACGAGAUUAAAAACUUCGAGCCCAAGCCAGUAUGAAUUCACUGUAAACGAAUCAACUCACAGUGCUAGACUCGACCAACACAAGUAUUUUCUGAACUCUGGACUGUAAUUCCCAAAGCCCUCCUAGAUUGCGUGCUCCUAUAUCAAUUCUCGGCUUUUGAAUUUCAUUUACUUCCUGUGAAUUCUCGAGAACUCCUUGUUCUCCAACAAUUGGAACUCUAGUCAACUUCCUUUAUAUUCAACCUUUGACAUACUUUGGAAGUAUGGAUUUUGGUGUUUGAUUUAUGGGUUUUGAUGUUUUUCAAUUUCAAAUCUCAAUGAUCAAUGGAUUGAAUGAUAUAGGAACAGUGUAUGUGUUUUCUUACAAUGAUCAGUCCAAGGUUUUUCAUGAAAUGGCGUAGGUUUGAUAAGAAUGUAAAAUGUUAUAUUUUUCAUUCCUUUAUCUUAUACUUGUGUGCUUAAUUGAUACCUAAAUGUGCUCAGUACUCUUAUAUUUUGAUUUAGGUUUCAAUUGGAUGAAUAGGGUGGAAUUUAGAAGAAAAAAGCAAAGAAGUGUUAAAAUGAAAGAAAAUAAAAGUUCAUGGACCAAAUUGCAAAUAUCGAAAAGAUGAACCGAAAAGCAAAAUGGAGAUGUGAAAGAUUUGAAGACAAAUUCAUUGAAGACAUGAAGUAUUGGAAGAAGAAAAAUGAGAGAAACAAAUCCCAAAAAGGCUUUAUAAACCGAGAAGUCAUCCUGGUGCAAAAAAUCUAGUUUCUGAAACUAAAUCAAACUCUUAUAGUAACAAAUCCCAAAAACCCUUUAUAAACCCAAAAUUCAUCCAGAAUAAGGAAAAACCUCUCUCUCUCUCUCUCUCUCUCUCUCUCUCUCUCUCUCUAUUAUUCUCUCUUUUUGCUCUUAGAAUUAUCAUGUAUUGCUAAGCUUUUGUACUUGGUCGAAGGAAAUUGAAGCCUCAG
rnacentral:lncRNA from 1 species